GCAAACUUGGUCAUUUAGAGGAAGUAAAAGUCGUAACAAGGUUUCCGUAGGUGAACCUGCGGAAGGAUCAUUACGAGGUUUUUCGCAAAACCCCCUAUCUCCCACUGUGUGCACCGGUCGAAAUUUGGUGAAGGGAAAGGAGAGAAAGGGGGGCGACUCUCCCGAGAGCGUCCUCCUUUUUCUUCUUCCUUUUUCCUUCUUUCUUUUUUCACUCUAGCCUGAACGCUCUGUCUGAGAAAAUCUUGAGAAAUCGCAAAACAACUUUCAACAACGGAUCUCUUGGCUCUCGCAUCGAUGAAGAACGCAGC
rnacentral:misc_RNA from 1 species